UUAAGGACUCCGGGACAGAAAGUGAAGAAUUUCUCCAUUUCAGUCUAACACUUUGACAGUGGGGAAUGCAGGAAGAGCCGUGUGCCACAUUCACAUGGCAGGACACACUUAGGAAGUGCCGUAUCCAGACUGCCGGCUGCCUUUCAACUAAGUCAUGGACAUGAUAAUCACUUGUUAGAGCUGCAUCUAUGGAGGUCUCCACAGAGAGAUGGAAAACAAAACAAAACAAAACCAGACAAAAAACCCACAUAACUCAUCAUAAAUGCUACACACAAAGCCGAAACAGCACUUUGUUCCCGGAAGCCCUGAAUCUUUUCUUGCUUUCCUUCGUGCACGCAAACCUCCGGGACAGAGCAGCCUGGACCCGGCACCCUCGGGCGGCCGGUGACCGCGCCGGCGGGGAGGGUCCGGCAGCUCCAGCCGCCUCCCUCUGAGCAGACGCCGCCGCCAGCAGCCCCGCUCGGGAACGAUCAAGGAACCCCUCCUGCUCCUAAUUUCCCCGAAGCGGCUGCUUCAUGUUUGUUUCGCUCUUGGAAAGACUCUCUGGAAAGCGCCAGCCUCCGGGACGCAGGACCGAGCCUCAGCCAGCUGGUAACGGCAGGCGGGGCAGCCGGCGGCGCUCCCUGCCUGCCAGCGGGGCCCUGGGGAGAGCACCGUGGGUGAAACCUUCCUCCGCGUCCCCCCCCCCCCCCCCCCCCCGUGAAGAAAAGCCCCGGAUUUUUCGGGGUACGGGAAGGCCCACCCCACCACCCCCCCCCGGCCCCCGCCGCCCCGCCGGGUCACUCACCCGGGUUGAAGAGCACCGUCCCCUUGAGAAUUUCUUCCAGUGACUUGGAGUGAAAAAUGCCACUUCAGUUGUAAUGUGUCCUUUCAAGACACUCUGUGAUUCUGUGACUUCCAGCCUGUUGGAUUCAUCGGUACUUGAGUGCAGGGAAUGUCCUGGUUUCAACUCCAGAGAAGCAGAUUAAAAUGCAAGUGGAGCAACAGUUGGUAAUGGACUAUCAAACAUUUCACACAUCCCUGGCCCUGGAUCAUAGUCAAAAUUAUUCUACUCUAAAGCAUGUUACAGUAUAAGCUCACAAAGACGACUUGCAAUGUGAAAGACCUAUGUUGCUUAAAAAAAUCGUGUGCUGCCAAACUGGUUUGGAUCAUCCACUCUAGAAGAUGACGGUGACAGCUCUAAUGUGGAAAGUUCUUGUUAUUUCAGUGUGCCUUCAAUAAAAAUAGUCUUGUCUGCCUUCUGUACUACAUACUAGUGAUAGCAACAAUAAUAUUCCUUUUAGGAGGAACCAGUGUUAAGAGUCCUUUGGUCAUAGCUUGGAGUACUUCUGAAGGACAGCAGAGAGGAAUUAGAAUUCUUUUCAUUCUCAUGAAUGAAUUGAAAAAAAUGCUUGUUAACCUGGUGACUGUUUGGCAUAGGAGUGUGACAGUUUAAAAGUUAAAAACGGAAUUACUACUUUGUCUUUUUCAAGGUCUUAACACUUAUUUAGUUUAGCAUUGUAACUGUUUAUGUUGUUGAUAGGCCACCUGUCCAUGCAAGUUUUGUCAAGAGGAUUAUGUUGCAGCAAUUGAUUUUCUUUCAAUGAGUAAAUAAUGAAGUAAUUUUACUUUGGCCAGGCCUUAAUCAAAAUAUCUCCUAUAUUUUGCUGUUAGAGGCUGAAUAUUCUUGAGUCUCUAUAGGUUAUAGUAUGUCAUAUAUAUAUAUAUAUAUAUGUAUGUAUACAUAAGAUAUUUUUGAUAAACUAUUCCUGCAAGUAGCAGUGUCCUUCGAAAGUCACCUGUCCCUAUUUCCAUAUAAUGUAAAAAAAAAUAGAGGGUGCAUUUUUCCAGGGUCAUGCACUCUCACCACGCUAGCCUGAUUACCUUGUGUUAUAUUAAAUAUUGCCUCUUGUUAAUGCUCUUAAAAUAGGUCUUUCUCUGCUGUGGUAGCAUGUUAAAGCAGAUUACCUUCAGGGACAGGUAAUAUUAUUUAUUUGAAAGAAAAAAUACCACAUUAUUUUUUUCCAAUUUCUAUGUAAUCUCAUUUCGUACUAAAUUUCAAUUGAAAACUCUAGAAUCGAAACGAAGCUAACAUAGCUUCAUUGAUUUCAGUGGAAGUAAAGCAGCUCACAAACAAAUGAGAAUCUUUUAUUUACAUUGCCAUAUCUGAACACUAAAGUUCUUAUAUUCUCAAUACAGUAUAUAUUUUAUUGUCAGAGCCAGAUCUAAUGAGGGUGGGGGGAAGUAAAAAUGCAGUGAUUUCUGAAAGGUUCUCUAAAAAAAAAAAAAAAUUAGAAACAAGAUGGGAAAUCAUUGCAAAUAUUCUGUUUGGUCUUCAAAACUGAAUGUUUAACACUGUUUCAGUAAUAAGUAUGAAACAAAAAUAAUGGCUCAGUUUUAGCUAGAAAAGCUUUUCUUAAAUUUCUCUGUGUAACUUGCUCUGAGAAAGCAGCAUUACCACUGCUGUCUUCUGUGAAACAAACUUUUGCAAAGGAAAAUAAAAAGAGGUGAGACCUUGUACAAGCCUGUUUAAAAUAAAGUGACUGAGUGUGUGUUCUUCAAUAUGCUCAGGAGGGUGACUGACAAAGACGUGUAGGUAUCAAAAUGUUCAGAGAGUGAUUCUACACCUAAGGAUGCAUUUCAGAGUAGGGUUUCUGUGAAACAUUAGUUCUUUUAUUGAAAAACCUUUAUUGUGAAUUUUCAAACAAAAUUAUGGCAUUGGAUAGGAAAAGCAGAAUGGUAUUUUAAGUACUUCACAGAGACUUUAUAUGCAACUCUUGUUGGCCCAUAUAUCUCCAGAGAGCCAUUGCUCUUUUUAAUCCAAGUGACUCACAAGAUCUGUUUUAGCCAUUCCCAUCAGUAGGUCCAAAGUAUUUACCAAGCAUUACAAAGGUUUAAAAAUUAAUACAGGAAAAAUCGCAUUUUGAAGCUUUCAAAAUUACUGACACAGAACCUACCUGCAAAGAAUGGUAAUGUCAAAGUCUCAUGCCAGCAUGUUUCCUUCACACACCUGUACUAAUCUUAAUAUGACCAUUAAAUUUUUGUUAUUUCCUCUCUCGUUUGUCUCCUCCUCCUGCAGCUGAGAUCCUGUGAGCAAAAAGAGAGAUUUUUAUUAGAAAUUUUUUGAAUGAGUGAAACCACAGUUUGAGCAAGCAGCAAGGCAGCUGCAGAAAGGACUUGCAUCCUGUGAAGACCUGUUACUGAGCAGCUAUCUGUUCUGAAAAGUAGCGAGAGAAGACUGAGGCUAGAGCAAAAAAGACAUGGGUUUUCUGAGUAUGAAGAAGUGAGAGAGGUCGCAGUGUCUGAGACAGACGAACUAUCAGUUGCAAAAAUAAGGUUAUACCAUUUACCUACACCUCGCCUUCAUUAUUUGUUCUCCUUAAAGAUUACAUUCUAAGUGGAGAUGACAGCUAUUGUGAGAUAUAUUACCUGAAGUACACAGACUGAGAAAAUGAAACGUUCAUUUGUCCUUAAAAAUCACAUUGUAAAUAAAUGGAAAGGUCAUUGAAUGAAUCCAUUUCCUGUCAAACCCACUGUGGAAAAUCCCUGGGCAAGGUGAAGUAAAUAAAUAUGUUUGCAUAAGCCAUA